rnacentral:rRNA from 1 species
GAUGAACGCUAGCGGCAGGCUUAAUACAUGCAAGUCGAGGGGCAGCGCAAAGUAGCAAUACUUAGGCGGCGACCGGCAAACGGGUGCGAAACACGUACACAACCUUCCUUUAAGUGGAAGAUAGCCCAGAGAAAUUUGGAUUAAUACUCCAUAACAUAUAAUAUAGGCAUCUAUAAAAUAUUAAAGCUUCGGCGCUUAAUGAUGGGUGUGCGGCUGAUUAGAUAGUUGGCAGGGUAAUGGCCUACCAAGUCUACGAUCAGUAGCUGAUGUGAGAGCAUGAUCAGCCACACGGGCACUGAGACACGGGCCCGACUCCUACGGGAGGCAGCAGUAAGGAAUAUUGGGCAAUGGACGAAAGUCUGACCCAGCCAUGCCGCGUGAGUGAAGAAGGCCUUCGGUUGUAAAGCGUCUUUCUAGACGGAAAGAAAGUACGCAUCUUCUAAUACAGGUGUGGAGUGACGGUACCGUAAGA